AUGUCCUUAACAACCUCAAAUCAAGUUCAAGAUCGUGUUUUUGAUAUUAAACACCCUUUGUUGUCCCAUAGUUAUUUGGAACUACUAGAAAUUGGCUUUUAUGUUACAAGAUCAUCUUUGAUUUUGGAAUUUAUAGCUUUUACUGUUUCUCCUAUAAAUAUCUUUAGAUUUUUUGUUUGUGUGUUCAAGUUAACAAUGAAUCAUGCGAUUUAUUUUGGAAUUAUAUAA